rnacentral:rRNA from 1 species
CAGUAGCCGCGGUAAAACCGAGGGUGCAAGCGUUAAUCGGAAUUACUGGGCGUAAAGCGCGCGUAGGUGGUUCGCCAAGUUGGAUGUGAAAUCCCCGGGCUCAACCUGGGAACUGCAUCCAAAACUGGCGAGCUAGAGUAUGGUAGAGGGUGGUGGAAUUUCCUGUGUAGCGGUGAAAUGCGUAGAUAUAGGAAGGAACAUCAGUGGCGAAGGCGACCACCUGGGCUCAUACUGACACUGAGGUGCGAAAGCGUGGGGAGCAAACAGGAUUAGAUACCCGUGUAGUCCCUGUCUCUUAUAC